rnacentral:rRNA from 1 species
GAGGUUACUGCUAUCGAGGUUCGACUAAGCCAUGCGAGUCGAAUGUAGCAAUACAUGGCGAACUGCUCAGUAACACGUGGACAACCUGCCCUUAGGACGGGGAUAAACCCGGGAAACUGGGUAUAAUACCCGAUAGGUCUCGAUUGCUGGAAUGCAUCGAGAUUUAAAGCUCCGGCGCCUAAGGAUGGGUCUGCGGCCUAUCAGGUAGUAGUGGGUGUAGCGUACCUACUAGCCUACGACGGGUACGGGUUGUGAGAGCAAGAGCCCGGAGAUGGAUUCUGAGACACGAAUCCAGGCCCUACGGGGUGCAGCAGGCGCGAAAACUUUACAAUGCUGGCAACAGCGAUAAGGGAACCUCGAGUGCCGGGUUACAAAUCUGGCUGUCGAGAUGCCUAAAAAGCAUUUCAUAGCAAGGGCCGGGCAAGACCGGUGCCAGCCGCCGCGGUAACACCGGCGGCUCGAGUGGUAACCGUUAUUAUUGGGUCUAAAGGGUCUGUAGCCGGCCGGAUAAGUCUCUUGAGAAAUCUGGCAGCUUAACUGUCAGGCUUUCAGGAGAUACUGUCUGGCUCGAGGCCGGGAGAGGUGAGAGGCACUUCAGGGGUAGGGGUGAAAUCUUGUAAUCCUUGAAGGACCACCAGUGGCGAAGGCGUCUCACCAGAACGGACCUGACGGCAAGGGACGAAAGCUAGGGGCACGAACCGGAUUAGAUACCCGGGUAGUCCUAGCCGUAAACGAUACUCGCUAGGUGUCGGCCACGGUGCGACCGUUGUCGGUGCCGUAGGGAAGCCGUGAAGCGAGCCACCUGGGAAGUACGGCCGCAAGGCUGAAACUUAAAGGAAUUGGCGGGGGAGCACCACAACGGGUGGAGCUUGCGGUUU